GACGAACGCUGGCGGCGUGCCUAAUACAUGCAAGUCGAACGCAGUGGGGAUGGGGUAGUAACACGUGGGUAACCUCCUAUCAGAUGGGAUAACACUUGGAAACAGGUGCUAAACCGAUACUGAUGGAUGAACUCGCUGUGUAUUAGCUUGUUGGUAAGGUAACGGCUCACCAAGGCCACGAUGCAUAGCCGACCGGAUAGGGUGAUCGGCCACACUGGGACGGAGACACGGCCCAGACUCCUACGGGAGGCAGCAGUAGGGAAUCUUCGGCAAUGGACGAAAGUCUGACCGAGCAACGUCGCGUGAGUGAAGAAGGCUUUCGGAUCGUAAAACUCUGUUGUUAGAGAAGCGGUAGCUAACCAGAAAGCCACGGCUAACUACGUGCCAGCAGCCGCGGUAAUUC
rnacentral:rRNA from 1 species